rnacentral:rRNA from 1 species
AUUGAACGCUAGCGGGAUGCUUAACACAUGCAAGUCGAGCGAGUGGCGGACGGGUGAGUAAUGUAUAGGAACGUGCCCUGUGGCGGGGGAUAACUACUGGAAACGGUGGCUAAUACCGCAUACCAUUAGAGCUGCCAAUAUGGGAUUAGCUAGUUGGUGGGGUAAUGGCUAACCAAGGCAACGAUCCCUAGCUGGUUUGAGAGGAGGACCAGCCACACUGGAACUGAGACACGGCCCAGACUCCUACGGGAGGCAGCAGUGGGGAAUUUUGCACAAUGGGGGAAAGCCUGAUGCAGCCACGCCGCGUGUGUGAGAAGGCCUUCGGGUUGUAAAGCACUUUUAGCAGGGAAGCGGUACCUGCAGAAUAAGCACCGGCUAACUACGUGCCAGCAGCCGCGGUAAUUC